AAUGGAACUGCUGGAAAAUAUGGUACGUUUCCUUUUAAAAGAAACUGUCUUCCAAAGUGUCUGUACCAUUUUGCAUUUCCAGAAGCAAU
rnacentral:pre_miRNA from 1 species